rnacentral:lncRNA from 1 species
UGUAAAUCUGGUUCACAUUUGUACGGUUGACCUCCCUAUUUAGUUGUGAAUUAAUUCAGUUAAAGUGUACAUCAUUUCUUCGGUGUGUUUCUGGGUGCCUGAGAGGAGGGGUAACCUUCACCGGGGCCUGCGCGUGGUGAGGGAACAUCUCCCCUAUGCAGGCUACCAAACGUCAUUUUUAGAUGGCAGUUUGGGUUAGCUAUGGAGGAUCCACUAACAGCCCACCCUAACAAAC